AUUGAACGCUGGCGGCAGGCCUAACACAUGCAAGUCGAACGGUAACAGGAAGCAGCUUGCUGCUUCGCUGACGAGUGGCGGACGGGUGAGUAAUGUCUGGGAAACUGCCUGAUGGAGGGGGAUAACUACUGGAAACGGUAGCUACUACCGCAUAACGUCGCAAGACCAAAGAGGGGGACCUUAGGGCCUCUUGCCAUCGGAUGUGCCCAGGUGGGAUUAGCUAGUAGGUGGGGUAACGGCUCACCUAGUCGACGAUCCCUAGCUGGUCUGAGAGGCUGACCGGCCACACUGGAACUGAGACACGGUCAAGAGUCCUACGGGAGGCAGCAGUCGGGAAUAUUGCACAAUGGGCGCAAGCCUGAUGCAGCGAUGCGGCGUGUAUGAAGAAGGCCUUCGGGUUGUAAAGUAGUUUCAGCGGGGAGGAAGGGAGUAAAGUUAAUACCUUUGGUCAUUGACGUUACCCGGAGAAGAAGCACCGGCUAACUCCGUG
rnacentral:rRNA from 1 species